rnacentral:rRNA from 1 species
AAUGUGUUCCGCCGCUGUUGGGGGGGUUGCCCGAGUAGCACGGCCCGAGGAAUCCCGUGUGAAUCUGCCAGGACCACCUGGUAAGCCUGAAUACUACCUGUUGACCGAUAGCGGAUCAGUACCGUGAGGGGAAUGGUGAAAAGUACCCCGGGAGGGGAGUGAAAUAGUACCUGAAACCAUGUGCCUACAAACCGUUGGAGCCUUCUUGUGGGGUGACAGCGUGCCUUUUGAAGAAUGAGCCUGCGAGUUAGUGAUACGUGGCGAGGUUAACCCGUGUGGGGAAGCCGUAGCGAAAGCGAGUCUGAAUAGGGCGAUUGAGUCGCGUGUCCUAGACCCGAAGCGGAGUGAUCUACCCAUGGCCAGGUUGAAGCGCGUGUAAGAGCGCGUGGAGGACCGAACCCACUUCAGUUGAAAAUGGAGGGGAUGAGCUGUGGGUAGGGGUGAAAGGCCAAUCAAACUCCGUGAUAGCUGGUUCUCCCCCGAAA